rnacentral:rRNA from 1 species
AUUGAACGCUGGCGGCAUGCUCUACACAUGCAAGUCGAACGGUAACAGGGUGCUUGCACCGCUGACGAGUGGCGAACGGGUGAGUAAUGCGUCGGAACGUGCCGAGUAGUGGGGGAUAACGCAGCGAAAGUUGUGCCAAUACCGCAUACGUACUGAGGUAGAAAGUGGGGGACCUUCGGGCCUCACGCUAUUCGAGCGGCCGACGUCUGAUUAGCUAGUAGGUGAGGUAAAGGCUCACCUAGGCGACGAUCAGUAGCGGGUCUGAGAGGAUGAUCCGCGACACUGGGACUGAGACACGGCCCAGACUCCUACGGGAGGCAGCAGUGGGGAAUUUUGGACAAUGGGCGAAAGCCUGAUCCAGCCAUGCCGCGUGUCUGAAGAAGGCCUUCGGGUUGUAAAGGACUUUUGUCAGGGAGGAAAUCCCUAGUGCUAAUAACACUGGGGGAUGACAGUACCUGAAGAAUAAGCACCGGCUACUACGUGCCAGCCGCCGCAGUAA